rnacentral:sRNA from 1 species
UGAGAAGCUUCUUUCGCAACUAGCGACACU